UCCCUGGAGGACUAGUGGUUAGACCUCAGCACUCUCACUGCCUCGGCUUGGGUUCAAUUCCCGGCCAGGGAA
rnacentral:tRNA from 1 species